rnacentral:rRNA from 1 species
ACACAGGUCUUUAAAAAAGUCCUGUGAUUGGAAUGAGUACAAUUUAAACCCCUUAACGAGGAACAAUUGGAGGGCAAGUCUGGGGCCAGCAGCCGCGGUAAUUCCAGCUCCAAUAGCGUAUAUUAAAGUUGUUGCAGUUAAAAAGCUCGUAGUUGGAUUUCGGGGCGCAGCGGGAUCGGUCCGCCCGAAAGGGUGAGUACUGGCUCGCGCGUCCCUACCUACGGGACAUUCGCUCCUGCUAUUAAGUUAGUGGGGGUAUUCUUCGGCUUCGGCCGAGUUUCGCACGUGCAGAAGGUCCGUGCAGGCUCUGGGGUUGCGUGGUUGGCUCUCUCGGGUCAGCUGCCGGCUUCGACUGUUGCGGCCGCUGCACGCGUCGGAAUGCCCGUUCAUUUUACCUUGAAUAAACUAGAGUGUUCAAAGCAGGCGUUGCGCCGUUGGAUACAUUAGCAUGGGAUAAUGGAAUAGGACUUUGGUUCUAUUUUGUUGGUUUCUAGGACCGGAGUAAUGAUUAAUAGGGAUAGUUGGGGGCAUUCGUAUUCAAUUGUCAGAGGUGAAAUUCUUGGAUUUAAGGAAGACGAACUUGGGCGAAAGCAUUUGUCAAGGAUGUUUUCAUUAAUCAAGAACGAAAGUUAGGGGAUCGAAGACGAUCAGAUACCGUCGUAGUCUUAACCAUAAACUAUGCCGACCAAGGAUUGGAGGCCGUUACAUGGAUGACUCCUUCAGCACUUUGUGAGAAAUCACAAGUUUUCGGGCUUUGGGGGGAGUAUGGUCGCAAGGCUGAAACUUAAAGGAAUUGACGGAAGGGCACCACCAGGAGUGGAGCCUGCGGCUUAAUUUGACCCAACACGGGGAAACUUACCAGGUCCAGACAUAGGAAGGAUUGACAGAUUGAGAGCUCUUUCUUGAUUCUAUGGGUGGUGGUGCAUGGCCGUUCUUAGUUGGUGGAGUGAUUUGUCUGGUUAAUUCCGUUAACGAACGAGACCUUAACCUGCUAAAUAGUCAUGCGGAUCCUGCUAUUCAAAGGGGGAAGCGAAGCGGAUUUCCCCUUCGGGGGUGCCGCGGAGCGGAACUCUGGCUGGAUCCGUAGCUGUACUUCUUAGAGGGACUAUUGGUAUCUAGCCGAUGGAAGUUUGAGGCAAUAACAGGUCUGUGAUGCCCUUUAGAUGUUCUGGGCUGCACGCGCGCUACACUGAUGCAUUCAACGAGUACAUGACCUUGGCUGACGAGUCUGGGUAAUCUUUUGAAAUUGCAUCGUGCUGGGGAUAGAUCAUUGCAAUUAUUGGUCUUCAACGAGGAAUUCCUAGUAAGCGUGAGUCAUCAGCUCGCGUUGAUUACGUCCCUGCCCUUUGUACACACCGCCCGUCGCUCCUACCGAUUGAAUGGUCCGGUGAAAUCUUCGGAUCGUUGCCUACGCCUGCGGGUUUCGGCUUGUGGGUAAGGUGGCGAGAAGUUGAUUAAACCUUAUCAUUUAGAGGAAGGAGAAGUC